rnacentral:lncRNA from 1 species
GGCCGGCCGAGCCCAUGGGCGGUGAGGUUGGUGCCUGGGGUUGUGGCUGGUCUGGUACAGGUGGGGCUCAGCCCGGAGAAGCUGGAGCCGGUUCCCAGGCCCCGCGCUGUGACUGGGGUGGGGGCAACGUCUCUCGUGCGGUUUUUUACUUAAAUGUGAAACGGCUCAGUAGGGCGGCCGCAGCCGGGAACAAGGUCUGACCCACCGAGGCCCAGCCUUGAACUUGCCGCGGGGGCACCUGAACGCGGUUUUACAGCCCGGAUCGUUGGCUUUCUUGAAGUUUGGGAACUGAUUGAUCAUGGUGGCGGGAGCUGAGUCUGGCCCCGCGGUGAUGAUUAACCCAACACCUCAGCCGGCACCGCGACGCUAGCUCCACUUCCCGGCGACGGUUGACAAGAAGGUGCCGCGUGGGGCUCUCGGAAAACAGGGAAGGUCCGUUUUCGCUUUUCAUUUCUUGACCUGUGGCCACGGUAAGACUCGGCCGCCUGCCUGCCCGACUCCUUGCCCCUCACCCCUGUGCCAGGCACGAGGCCCUGCGAAGUCCUGGGUCCCCCAGCUGAGCCUGCCGGCCCAGGCCACCAUCUCCCCACCCAGCCCUGGAGCCAGGGUCGGCCUCUCCUGCUAGCUGCUCGUUGGCUUUACAGCUUCUGCACUCAGGAGGCGCCUGGGAAUCCUGCCCUGGAACUUAGGAAGGAGGCUUCUCCCACCUGCCUGCCACACGGGUCUGUCCCUGGGUCCGAGCCUCUGCCGUGUGCCCCUCAGCCUCCCGGGUGAGAAUGCAAUGGCUGAUGAGCCUGGGGUGGCCAGGCCAGCUCUGGCCCUGUGGGGUUCCUGAGAAGGCUGGCCCUGGGUGGCCAAGGGCCUGGGGACACUGGCCCCGGGCCCUGAACCUAGCAGUGGGAGGCCGGCCCGUCCGCCGGGUGGGCUGGGGACUGUGUUUGGCCCCAGCUGCAAGGGACGAGUGCCGGGCACCUGCUGCCCUCCCCACGUGACCUGGCAGCCAGGAAUGGAGCUGAAAUUCAACUCUGCUUUGAACGGGAAGUCUUAGUUUCCUUUAGCUCAGAAAACAGGUGAAAUUGUGUUCCUGAAGCACUGAUUUGAUGGGAUUUGAUGGGAUCGGUGGCGAAGGCCUGUGAG